CUGUGUGGUUGUACAAAUCAUAUUAAUCUUGAUGUAUGGAUUAAUGGCAAGUUCUUUGAUGCAUACAACUUAACAAUUAUUGCCUGCUACUUCCUGGCCUUGACGGAAAUUUUUCCUCCAAAAGGGUUCUGCAAGGCUUUCCAUUCCCAACAUGCAGGUACGUCAUGUGGUAUUAUUAUUAUGGUGGGAAUUUUUAAGAUUUACUUUGUCUUUAUAUAUUCCCAGUUGAUACCAAAAAACACAGUUUACAGAGGAUAAAAUGGAGAGGACUCUUUGUUCGGGUUACGAAUGGAGAGGACUCUUUAUGUAUUCAGAUUGCAGUUCCCCACG
rnacentral:lncRNA from 1 species